GAAGGUGGCUAGCGUUGCUCGGAUUUACUGGGCAUAAAGCGCGCGUAGGUGGUCUUGUAAGCGGGGGAUGAAAGCCCAUGGCUCACCCAUGGAACUGUCCCUCGGACUGCAAGGCUGGAGGGCGGGAGGGGAGAAUGGAAUUCCCGGUGUAGCGGUGAAAUGCGUAGAUAUCGGGAGGAACGCCGGUGGCGAAAGCGAUUCUCUGGCCCGUCCCUGACACUGAGGCGCGAGAGCUAGGGGAGCAAACAGGAUUAGAUACCCUGGUAGUCCUAGCUGUAAACGAUGGGCACUGGGUAGAGGUGGUGUCGAUACCGUCUCUGCCGAAGCAAAUGUGUUAAGUGCCCCGCUUGGGGAGUACGGUCGCAAGGCUA
rnacentral:rRNA from 1 species